GACGAACGCUGGCGGCGUGCUUAACACAUGCAAGUCGAACGGAAAGGCCCUGCUUUUGUGGGGUGCUCGAGUGGCGAACGGGUGAGUAACACGUGAGUAACCUGCCCUUGACUUUGGGAUAACUUCAGGAAACUGGGGCUAAUACCGGAUAGGAGCUCCUGCUGCAUGGUGGGGGUUGGAAAGUUUCGGCGGUUGGGGAUGGACUCGCGGCUUAUCAGCUUGUUGGUGGGGUAGUGGCUUACCAAGGCUUUGACGGGUAGCCGGCCUGAGAGGGUGACCGGCCACAUUGGGACUGGGAUACGGCCCAGACUCCUACGGGAGGCAGCAGUGGGGAAUAUUGCACAAGGGGCGGAAGCCUGAUGCAGCAACGCCGCGUGCGGGAUGACGGCCUGCGGGUUGUAAACCGCUUUCGCCUGUGACGAAGCGUGAGUGACGGUAAUGGGUAAAGAAGCACCGGCUAACUACGUG
rnacentral:rRNA from 1 species